CUGAGGCACUGGGACGCAGUUUCAGUGGGGCUGCGCGGCUGCUGGAAGGUCUGGGGGGGCCCCUGGGCCACGCCCAAGCUGGGGCAGCUGCGACCGCGCACUGCCUGUGCCUGGUGCGCCGUGACCUGCGCGCUGUGGCUGCCACCGUAGCCACCAUCACCGCCUGUCACCUGCUGCCUGACAUCCGUGGGGAGCUGUGAGAGUGGGAAUGUCUUUGGGGGGGGGGGGGGGCAGUGCUGGCAGCUGUGGGGAGCUCCUGGCGUUGUUGUUGCAGUGUCACUGACACUGACCUUCAGCACUGUGUCCAAUGGACUCGAGGGUUGUGGUUGUCACUGAUGACAUUCUCAUUGUCACUGCAUUACCAGUGCUGUGUCCCCUUGAGCUGAUGCUGCCAUCAACAGCACUGCCGCUGAUCGCUCAGUGUCCCAGCGAUGUCCCUGUGUCACCUGGCCUGUGGGGACCUUGGCCUCACAGUGACGUUGUCAGUGAAUGGAAGCUCCUGACGAUUGAUUGAUGCAGAAUUCUGUAGUUUUGCCCUGUAUAGGGGAUCUGUGGGUUCUGGCACUGACUAAAGCCCUUUGGAGACAUAGCUGCAGCAAGGACACAGCUUUCACUAGGUGGGUGGCAGUGUGUUCACCCACGGCACUGUGGUCCCAGUGGUCUGAGCAAGGUCCCUUUUGUUGCCCCCCAUGUCCUUGGGCUGUGGUUGUGUCCUGUGCGUCCCUUCCUGCCAUAUGAAUGUCUCCAGCAUCUGGCCACUGUCCCCAAGCUGUGGCUAUGUCCUGUCACCCUAAGUGCCCCUUGGCCUUGUCCUUAGCUCUCUCCUACCUCUGUGUACCCCUCUGAGAACUUCAGCCAGGGACAGGGAGAAGUACAUACGAAUCUCACACCACGGAGCCACAUGGGUCUGUCACGCUGCAUCCUGCCUGGGCUGUCACGUCCUGUGGGACACCAGGGGAUACACCCUGGGUGCUAGUGGGCUUGUGGCACCAAAAUGCCCGGGGCCUGAUGAGGGUCCUGGGGGCUCCUGGCGUCUCCAGAAGGGUCCCAACUGUCCCCAGGGACUGACCUGAGGGGUAGUGGAAAACCAGGAUGAAGGUUCACUUUCCCCAUUCCCCUGUGUUGUGGCAAAGGGGAAAGGUUUUGUGAAGAGCACAGUGGUGUUGGAUUCUGUUCAUAAAGAUUCUAGACCUCAGUUCCCUUCCCGUAUCCAAAUUAGAAUGAAAGAUAGUAUUAACAAUUCAUCUUCUGAGGAAGAACCUCUGAGCACUUGUAACUGGCAGUGCUUUGAUAUUCUAGGUAACCUGUUCCAUAAGGAGUGCUGGGUGAUGCUGACUGAUACUGUCAAUUGUGAGCAUGCUCCACAGAAAGUUUCCCUCUGUGGGAGUGAGGAAACAAAAUGUGGUGAUUCAGUACUGUGGGGUUAUUAUGAGGUUACUAGAGUCUAGGAUUCUAGAGUCUGAGGAUUCUAUGAAUUGAUUAUUGGAGGAUUCUAUGAGGAUGCUAUGAGGAUACCAGCUCCUGUGAUUAUAAGUUCUGUUAUUUCAGAUUCUGUGAUCGUUUCAUGAUUCUAGAUUCCUUGACUCUGUGAUGAUUCUGGGCUUCAGUUGUGUGGUGAUUCUGAUUCCUCACUAAGAGUAUAGAUUCCCAGACUUGUAGCUACGCAAUACGAUGCGUUUCCAUCUCCACUCCUGUGCAUAGUGUGUGGCAUAGUUCUGAGUGCCUGACACAGCCCAAGCAAAAUCAAUUUCUGUAGGUUAUUACUAAAUAAAUAAAUAAAUCAAUAAAUUUCUUGCUUUAGUUUCUGCUCCCUGAUCCAUUUAUUUAUGUUCUCCCUUGCUUCAUAUGUAACUUCCAAACUUGGCAUUUUGCAGAUAAUACCUUUUCCCCCUUUCGUCCUUUGGUGGCCCCUAAUGGUCUCUUCUUUCUCAGUUAGAACAGUUGUCAUGAGCCUAUUCAUAUAGGAAUUUGGGACUGGAGUUCACUCCGUGACUCUUAUCAUAGUUGAUGUCCCUAGUUGCUAUCGUGCAGACUUCACCAAUUUAUAACAGAUGGAUACAGCUACGAUAUACACUCCUAAGAGGGAAGCAGGAAUGUAUAUUUAUUGAUGUAAUGUAGAUAUGCUGUAGUGAUAUGACAGUGACUUAACAAGACUGGAGAUGGCUGGAUACACUUGGUUAUUUUCCACAUAGAGGGCAGGAUUAAACACACACCUACAGGACGCUCUCCUUCUGUGUCAUGAGGAUCAGAGCAGACCCCGUUGCUGUCUGAACUCUUCAAACCACAGAGAUCACAGCAGUGUGAGUCUGACUGCGUCAGCGGAAGAGCUGCCUUCAUGGAGGUGCAGGUGCAGUCGGCCGUUGUGGAAUUCAUCCUGAACCACACUCUUCCACUCCAAAUCCAGCCCAGUCAUUGGAGAUGGAGGAGGCUUGGAAGCACGCUACGUGUGGGAAAUAUACUUGGUGCAGGAAAGGGGAUGUCCUUAGCCAAGGUGCUGGAAAGCUGAAGGAAAACAGAUGAAACUGCAGAUCUAUCAACAAAAACGUAAGCACGUGACACUUGACUUGGCAGGUCUGUGAGAAGGUCAGCUUCCCCGUGUUUGUAUUUCAGCCAUCAUCCUCCGUACUGGAGAGGCUUUAUCCGCUUGGCUUGCUUAAUUGCAGCACAUUUGACAUGCAUGGAUAACCUGUGCAAUAGCGUCCUUGAUCCAGACCCCAUUUCCAUAUUGCAUCUCUUCCCCAAUGGCCUGAGGUGUCAUGGGUGCACCGAGCUGGAAAUAAUUC
rnacentral:lncRNA from 1 species